UCCUUUCCAGUGUGACCGUUUUUAGUAUAUUCAGUACCAAAUUGGUAUAAUUUGGGCUCCGUGUAACUAAUUUAGUAUUUUUUUGGUAUCCUUUUAUAUUCUGGUAUUUUUUGGUACAUUUAAACUUUCAACAUUUUAAAACACAUUUUGAUAUAUUUUUGGGCUGAGCGGGAAACACUCACUUUCAUUCGUUCGUAUUUCGUUCACAUGUUUUUGUCUUUGUCUGAUGUUUACCGCAAAUGUAUCAUUUUGUCUCUUUCAAACGGUUAAUGCUAACAAAUUCGCGAAUCGUGCUUUGGCUACGUAUUACUAUCUACGUUACAUGCUGUAUUUUUAUACAUGUGGUCCCUUUUGGGACCAUGGAUGUUUUAGUUCUUUAUUUAUUUCUCUCUGUGUGCAUGUGUAGUGAAGAUAAUGAAGCGCAAAUACGAUCAGAAAUAUAGAUCAGAGUGGGAACAAAAUUCUGAAUUUUCGUCAUGGUUGACCAAAGAUAAAAAUAAUGAGAACGCCUUGUGUAAAACGUGUGGAGCAACAUUUUUAAGCAGAAUCGCUACAAUUAAAAGUCAUGCAUAUUCUGAAAAACAUCGAUAGAAACUUAUACGUUAUAGUGGACAAUCCAAGAACGAUGAUAAAUUACUUCAAAUGAAAGAACCCAUAUCUGAAGAAGUAAGAAAAGCAGAGCUUAUAUUUUAUGCAGCGUUGGCAGAAUAUAACAUACCAUCUCUGGCCAUGGAUCAUCUCAGCGAUUUAUUCAGAAAAAUGUUUUAUGAUUCGAAAAUCGCAAAGGGCUUUUCCUGCAAACGCACUAAAUCUGCUCAGUUAGCUCAGUACAGCGAAUACUGACUUAGUAUUUGUAAUAAAACUUAUUGUAAAUAUUUAUUAUUAUUUGAAUAUGUCUGUACAAUGAAGGAGUGUAAUUGGUUAAAUUAAAAAGUAUCUGAU